rnacentral:rRNA from 1 species
GACGAACGCUGGCGGCGUGCUUAACACAUGCAAGUCGAACGCUGAAGCUCAGCUUUUGUUGGGUGGUUGAGUGGCGAACGGGUGAGUAACACGUGAGUAACCUGCCCCCUUCUUUGGGAUAACGCCCGGAAACGGGUGCUAAUACUGGAUAUUCACUGGUCUUCGCAUGGGGGUUGGUGGAAAGGGUUUUUCUGGUGGGGGAUGGGCUCGCGGCCUAUCAGCUUGUUGGUGGGGUGAUGGCCUACCAAGGCUUUGACGGGUAGCCGGCCUGAGAGGGUGACCGGUCACAUUGGGACUGAGAUACGGCCCAGACUACUACGGGAGGCAGCAGUGGGGAAUAUUGCACAAUGGGCGCAAGCCUGAUGCAGCGACGCCGCGUGAGGGAUGGAGGCCUUCGGGUUGUGAACCUCUUUCGCUCAUGGUCAAGCCGCAACAAUGGUUGUGGUGAGGGUAGUGGGUAAAGAAGCGCCGGCUAACUACGUG